rnacentral:rRNA from 1 species
AAGCAGCCACCUUCCAAAAAAGCGUUAAAGCUUUAUUAUAAUUACAUCUGAAUACCCCAUUCUUAUCAAAACCCUCCAACCAUACUGAAUGACUUCAUACCCCUAUGAAGGACCAUAUGCUAAAACUAGUAACAAGAAGAAGACCUUCUCCAAAAUGUAAGCGUAAGUCAUAAUGAACAAUUCACUGACACUUAACGUCUAUGAGCCUACAGUGGCAACCCGCAUCAAGAAAACCCCACUUUUCAUCACGUUAACCUUACACUAGAACAUUUACGGAAAGAUUAAAAGAGGAAGAAGGAACUCGGCAAACUACUAACCCCGCCUGUUUACCAAAAACAUCGCCUCCUGACUAACCAUAGGAGGUCCAGCCUGCCCAGUGACCCAGUUAAACGGCCGCGGUACCCUAACCGUGCAAAGGUAGCACAAUCACUUGUUCUUUAAAUGAGGACUAGUAUGAAUGGCAUCACGAGGGUUAUACUGUCUCCCCCCUCUAAUCAGUGAAACUGAUCUCCCCGUGAAGAAGCGGGGAUAUUAUUAUAAGACGAGAAGACCCCAUGGAGCUUUAAACUCAGUAUCACCUGCCAACCACUCCAGCCUAUUAACCACGCAGUUCUGACUACUAGUUUUCGGUUGGGGUGACCGCGGAGUAAAAUAAAACCUCCUCGAUGAAUGGAGCUAACCUCCUUAUCCAAGAGCCACAACUCUAAGAAUCAAAUCAUUGACAAAAAUUGAUCCAAUUUAUAUUGAUCAACGAACCAAGUUACCCUGGGGAUAACAGCGCAAUCUACUUCAAGAGCUCCUAUCGACAAGUGGGUUUACGACCUCGAUGUUGGAUCAGGGUAUCCCAGUGGCGCAGCCGCUACUAAAGGUUC